UGGGGAAUAUUGGACAAUGGGCGCAAGCCUGAUCCAGCAAUGCCGCGUGGGUGAAGAAGGCCUUCGGGUUGUAAAGCCCUUUUGUACGGGAAGAAAGCUUUCGGGUUAAUACCCUGGGAGGAUGACGGUACCGUAAGAAUAAGCACCGGCUAACUUCGUGCCAGCAGCCGCGGUAAUACGAAGGGUGCAAGCGUUAAUCGGAAUUACUGGGCGUAAAGCAUGCGUAGGUGGUUGUUUAAGUCUGUCGUGAAAGCCCUGGGCUCAACCUGGGAAUGGCGAUGGAUACUGGGCGACUAGAGUGCGGUAGAGGAUGGCGGAAUUCCCGGUGUAGCGGUGAAAUGCGUAGAGAUCGGGAGGAACAUUCGUGGCGAAGGCGGCCAUCUGGACCAGCACUGACACUGAGGUACGAAAGCGUGGGGAGCAAACAGGAUUAGAUACCCUGGUAGUCCACGCCCUAAACGAUGCGAACUGGAUGUUGGGCUCAACUUGGAGCUCAGUGUCGAAGCUAACGCGUUAAGUUCGCCGCCUGGGGAGUACGGUCGCAAGACUGAAACUCAAAGGAAUUGACGGGGGCCCGCACAAGCGGUGGAGUAUGUGGUUUAAUUCGAUGCAACGCGAAGAACCUUACCUGGCCUUGACAUGUCCGGAAUCGAGCAGAGAUGCUUGAGUGCCUUCGGGAAUCGGAACACAGGUGCUGCAUGGCUGUCGUCAGCUCGUGUCGUGAGAUGUUGGGUUAAGUCCCGCAACGAGCGCAACCCUUGUCCUUAGUUGCCAGCACGUAAUGGUGGGAACUCUAAGGAGACUGCCGGUGACAAACCGGAGGAAGGUGGGGAUGACGUCAAGUCAUCAUGGCCCUUACGGCCAGGGCUACACACGUACUACAAUGGGAAGGACAGAGGGCAGCGAGACCGCGAGGUGGAGCCAAUCCCAGAAACCUUCUCUCAGUCCGGAUCGCAGUCUGCAACUCGACUGCGUGAAGUCGGAAUCGCUAGUAAUCGCAGAUCAGCAUUGCUGCGGUGAAUACGUUCCCGGGCCUUGUACACACCGCCCGUCACACCAUGGGAGUGGGUUGCUCCAGAAGCCGUUAGCCUAACCGCAAGGGGGGCGACGACCACGGAGUGGCUCAUGACUGGGGUGAAGUCGUAACAAGGUAGCCGUACCGGAAGG
rnacentral:rRNA from 1 species